rnacentral:rRNA from 1 species
UUCUGCACUCAAGAAAAACAGUUUCCGAUGCAGUUCCUCGGUUAAGCCGAGGGCUUUCACAUCAGACUUAUUCUUCCGCCUGCGCUCGCUUUACGCCCAAUAAAUNCGGACAACGCUUGCCACCUACGUAUUACCGCGGCUGCUGGCACGUAGUUAGCCGUGACUUUCUGGUUGAUUACCGUCAAAUAAAGGCCAGUUACUACCUCUAUCCUUCUUCACCAACAACAGAGCUUUACGAUCCGAAAACCUUCUUCACUCACGCGGCGUUGCUCCAUCAGACUUGCGUCCAUUGUGGAAGAUUCCCUACUGCUGCCUCCCGUAGGAGUUUGGGCCGUGUCUCAGUCCCAAUGUGGCCGAUCAGUCUCUCAACUCGGCUAUGCAUCAUCGCCUUGGUAAGCCUUUACCUUACCAACUAGCUAAUGCACCGCGGGGCCAUCCCAUAGCGACAGCUUACGCCGCCUUUUAAAAGCUGAUCAUGCGAUCUGCUUUCUUAUCCGGUAUUAGCACCUGUUUCCAAGUGGUAUCCCAGACUAUGGGGCAGGUUCCCCACGUGUUACUCACCCAUCCGCCGCUCGCUUUCCUAACGUCAUUACCGAAGUAAAUCUGUUAGUUCCGCUCGCUCGACUUGCAUGUAUUAGGCACGCCGCCAGCGUUCGUCCUGAG